rnacentral:rRNA from 1 species
UACGUAGGGUGCAAGCGUUAAUCGGAAUUACUGGGCGUAAAGCGUGCGCAGGCGGUUUUGUAAGUCUGUCGUGAAAUCCCCGGGCUCAACCUGGGAAUUGCGAUGGAGACUGCAAGGCUAGAAUCUGGCAGAGGGGGGUAGAAUUCCACGUGUGAGCAGUGAAAUGCGUAGAGAUGUGGAGGAACACCGAUGGCGAAGGCAGCCCCCUGGGUCAAGAUUGACGCUCAUGGCACGAAAGCGUGGGGAGCAACAGGAUAUAGAC